rnacentral:rRNA from 1 species
UACGAAGGGGGCUAGCGUUGCUCGGAAUUACUGGGCGUAAAGCGCACGUAGGCGGCUCUUUAAGUCGGGGGUGAAAUCCUGGAGCUCAACUCCAGAACUGCCUUCGAUACUGUAGAGCUUGAGUCCGGGAGAGGUGAGUGGAACUGCGAGUGUAGAGGUGAAAUUCGUAGAUAUUCGGAAGAACACCAGUGGCGAAGGCGGCUCACUGGUCCGGUACUGACGCUGAGGUGCGAAAGGCGUGGGGAGCAAACAGG